UGGGGAAUCUUGCGCAAUGGGCGAAAGCCUGACGCAGCAACGCCGCGUGCGGGAUGACGGCCCUCGGGUUGUAAACCGCUUUCAGUGGGGACGAACCAAGACGGUACCCACAGAAGAAGGUCCGGCCAACUACGUGCCAGCAGCCGCGGUAACACGUAGGGACCAAGCGUUGUCCGGAUUCAUUGGGCGUAAAGAGCUCGUAGGCGGUUCGAUAAGUCGGGUGUGAAACCUCCAGGCUCAACCUGGAGACGCCACCCGAUACUGUCGUGACUAGAGUCCAGUAGGGGAGCGUGGAAUUCCUGGUGUAGCGGUGAAAUGCGCAGAUAUCAGGAGGAACACCAGCGGCGAAGGCGGCGCUCUGGGCUGGAACUGACGCUGAGGAGCGAAAGCGUGGGGAGCGAACA
rnacentral:rRNA from 1 species